AUUGAACGCUGGCGGCAGGCCUAACACAUGCAAGUCGAACGAGUGGCGGACGGGUGAGUAAUGUCUGGGGAACUGCCCGAUGGAGGGGGAUAACUACUGGAAACGGUAGCUAAUACCGCAUACCAUCAGAUGUGCCCAGAUGGGAUUAGCUAGUAGGUGGGGUAACGGCUCACCAAGGCGACGAUCCCUAGCUGGUCUGAGAGGAUGAUAAGCCACACUGGAACUGAGACACGGCCCAGACUCGUACGGGAGGCAGCAGUGGGGAAUAUUGCACAAAGGGCGCAAGCCUGAUGCAGCCAUGCCGCGUGUAUGAAGAAGGCCUUCGGGUUGUAAAGUACUUUCAGCGGGGAGGCGUUACCCGCAGAAGAAGCACCGGCUAACUCCGUGCCAGCAGCCGCGGUAAUUC
rnacentral:rRNA from 1 species